AGAGUUUGAUCAUGGCUCAGAACGAACGCUGGCGGCAGGCUUAACACAUGCAAGUCGAACGCAUCCUUCGGGGUGAGUGGCAGACGGGUGAGUAACACGUGGGAACGUACCUUUCGGUUCGGGAUAACCCAGGGAAACUUGGGCUAAUACCGGAUACGUCCUUAGGGAGAAAGAUUUAUUGCCGAGAGAUCGGCCCGCGUCUGAUUAGCUAGUUGGUGAGGUAAAGGCUCACCAAGGCGACGAUCAGUAGCUGGUCUGAGAGGAUGAUCAGCCACACUGGGACUGAGACACGGCCCAGACUCCUACGGGAGGCAGCAGUGGGGAAUAUUGGACAAUGGGCGCAAGCCUGAUCCAGCCAUGCCGCGUGAGUGAUGAAGGCCUUAGGGUUGUAAAGCUCUUUCGGCGGGGACGAUAAUGACGGUACCCGCAGAAGAAGCCCCGGCUAACUUCGUGCCAGCAGCCGCGGUAAUACGAAGGGGGCUAGCGUUGUUCGGAAUCACUGGGCGUAAAGGGCGCGUAGGCGGCUUUAUAAGUCGGGGGUGAAAGCCUGUGGCUCAACCACAGAAUUGCCUUCGAUACUGUAUGGCUUGAGACCGGAAGAGGUAAGUGGAACUGCGAGUGUAGAGGUGAAAUUCGUAGAUAUUNGCAAGAACACCAGUGGCGAAGGCGGCUUACUGGUCCGGUUCUGACGCUGAGGCGCGAAAGCGUGGGGAGCAAACAGGAUUAGAUACCCCNGUAGUCC
rnacentral:rRNA from 2 species